CAGUUGCUAAGCUGGAGUGCUCGGCACAGACGGAACAACCCCAUCAAAGAAGGAGAAUCGGAGAAUCGAGGCUUCCGCUUGCCUCCAAGUUUUCUGAGGAAUGAAGAACUAUGGUAUGUGCUGCCUGUCCUCAAGCAGCUUGUACUAUCAUGGAAUGGAAACAGUAUUAAAUGAAAGGACUAUACUGCAACGGAGGAAUAAAGAGGUGCAGUGACUCUUUGAAGGUCAUAUAACCAGCCAGCAGUGAAACCCGAAUGUACAUAAAGUCUACCCAGGAACCCCUGUACUACA